CGGACGGGUGAGUAACACGUGGAUAACCUACCUAUAAGACUGGGAUAACUUCGGGAAACCGGAGCUAAUACCGGAUAAUAUUUUGAACCGCAUGGUUCAAAAGUGAAAGACGGUCUUGCUGUCACUUAUAGAUGGAUCCGCGCUGCAUUAGCUAGUUGGUAAGGUAACGGCUUACAAGGCAACGAUGCAUAGCCGACCUGAGAGGGUGAUCGGCCACACUGGAACUGAGACACGGUCCAG
rnacentral:rRNA from 1 species